rnacentral:rRNA from 1 species
AAGUAACCUGCCUUUAAGACGAGGAUAACAACCGGAAGGUUACUAAGACUGGAUAGGAAACAAAAAGGCAUCUUUUUGUUUUUAAAAGACCUUCUUACGAAGGUAUGCUUAAAGAGGGGCUUGCGCCACAUUAGUUAGUUGGUAGAGUAAAAGCCUACCAAGACGAUGAUGUGUAGCUGGACUGAGAGGUUGAACAGCCACAUUGGGACUGAGACACGGCCCAAACUCCUACGGGAGGCAGCAGUAGGGAAUUUUCGGCAAUGGAGGAAACUCUGACCGAGCAACGCCGCGUGAACGAUGAAGUAUUUCGGUAUGUAAAGUUCUUUUAUUGAAGAAGAAAAAGUAGUGGAAAAACUAUAUUGACGUUAUUCAAUGAAUAAGCCCCGGCUAACUAUGUGCCAGCAGCCGCGGUAAGACAUAGGGGGCGAGCGUUAUCCGGAAUUAUUGGGCGUAAAGGGUGCGUAGGCUGUUAGAUAAGUCUAUAAUUUAAUUUCAGUGCUUAACGCUGUCUUGUUAUAGAAACUGUCUUGACUAGAGUGAGAUAGAGGCAAGCGGAAUUCCAUGUGUAGCGGUAAAAUGUGUAAAUAUAUGGAGGAACACCAGAAGCGUAGGCGGCUUGCUGGGUCUUUACUGACGCUGAGGCACGAAAGCGUGGGUAGCAAACAGGAUUAGAUACCCUGGUAGUCCACGCCGUAAACGAUGAGUACUAAGUGUCGGGGUAAAACUCGGUACUGAAGUUAACACUUCAACCUACUCCGCCUGAGUAGUACGUACGCAAGUAUGAAACUUAAAGGAAUUGACGGGACUCCGCACAAGCGGUGGAUCAUGUUGUUUAAUUCGAAGAUACACGAAAAAUCUUACCAGGUCUUGACAUACUCUGCAAAGCUAUAGAAAUAUAGUGGAGGUUAUCAGGGAUACAGGUGGUGCAUGGUUGUCGUCAGUUCGUGUCGUGAGAUGUUAGGUUAAGUCCUAAAACGAACGCAACCCUUGUCGUUAAUUGCCAGCACAUAAUGGUGGGGACUUUAACGAGACUGCCAAUUAAACAUUGGAGGAAGGUGAGGAUUACGUCAAAUCAUCAUGCCCCUUAUGAUCUGGGCUACAAACGUGAUACAAUGGCUGUGACAAAGAGUAGCUGAAACGCGAGUUUUUAGCCAAUCUCAAAAAAGCAGUCUCAGUUCGGAUUGAAGUCUGUAACUCGACUUCAUGAAGUUGGAAUCGCUAGUAAUCGCGAAUCAGCAUGUCGCGGUGAAUACGUUCUCGGGGUUUGUACACACCGCCCGUCAAACCACGAAAGUUAGCAAUGCCCGAAAGCAGUAGCUUAACUU